GGAGACAAAAAAACUUUCGAAGGUUUUUGAGAAACAAGGCUUUCGAUCGUUUCCUUUUCGCCUGGAGAGCUUCAGUCCACAUUUUGAGGAAGUCGCCAUAUGCUACGCCAUUCUUCGAUCAAAGAGGCACUGGCUCUUCUUAGCAAUCGUUUCCAUGCCCUAGAUAUUCCCAGUUCUUAGGGUUUAUCGAGGCGAUGGGAUCGCCCGCCUUGUUCCUGCUGCUCGUCAUCGCGGCGAUCGGAGCUUGCGAUGGCUACUUUUUAGGAGAAUACGUGCCGCUGGCGCGCAGGGGACAGUACCACAACAUGCGAACGCCCUGGCACGAUUACUUGGGGCGUCAUUGCCCUCGAUUUGGGAUCGACAGAGAGGUUGUUGUCCCAAUUCCAAAGCCUGUUGGCUACAGCGGCGCCGACCCCUACAAAAUAUCUUUGCAAUUUGGGCACGAGAGGAUUACCACCCCAUGGCUGUUUAUCGUGGGCCGACAGUCCAGCAAAAUGCCUAUGAUUGACGUGACUCUGAGGUACACAGGUGGUGAUUUGGAAGGCGUUUCUGCCAAAGUCGUCGAGAUGCCUGAGGAUUAUGCCGCCGAACACGAAGGGACGUUCAAAGAGUUUUGGGAUCCUUCGCAGUGGCCAAAACACGUACUAGUUCGAUAUAAUUGGGAAGAGAAGUCAGAGAUUGACGUUGCAACAGGUUUCUACAUAUUGUUUGGAUCUGCUUUUCUAUUAACCUUGGUUAUGUCCAUUUAUAUUCUGCAAUCGUCCAAGGAUAAGCUAUCCAGGUUUGUCAGAGAAAACGUGAUUGACACGGGUAUAACAAUGGAAGAACUCCAAAAAGCGGAAUGAAAAAAUUAUACAGGCCUCGAUUUCUUUCUAGACUCUUGGGAUCACUAAUAUAUGUGUUGGAAUGGAAUCAUCUGCAGUAGAGAUUGCCACGCAAAUCGAAAGGGAAAGGAGCACGUUGCUCGUAGCACUGAGAGAAAAGGUUGCUCAACAAGAAUUGGUUUCACUAAAUUUUGGAGGGAGUUACUGGUGUAAGUAAAUGCUCGGUCCAGUCUGUCGAUGGUGAUGUUGGCUUCGAUUCUUUGGUUGGUUUUCUAGUUUUUUUUAUUUUUUUUUAUUUUUUAUAUUUUCUUGUCGUACUUCGGUUUUUCUUCAGAAGCAACCCGGAUAAAUUUCUAGUGUGUUA